AAAUCGUACCCCAAACCGACACAGGUGGUCAGGUAGAGAAUACCAAGGCGCUUGAGAGAACUCGGGUGAAGGAACUAGGCAAAAUGGUGCCGUAACUUCGGGAGAAGGCACGCUGGUGUGUAGGUGAAGCCCCUGCGGGUGGAGCUGAGACCAGUCGAAGAUACCAGCUGGCUGCAACUGUUUAUUAAAAACACAGCACUGUGCAAACACGAAAGUGGACGUAUACGGUGUGACGCCUGCCCGGUGCCGGAAGGUUAAUUGAUGGGGUUAUCCGUAAGGAGAAGCUCUUGAUCGAAGCCCCGGUAAACGGCGGCCGUAACUAUAACGGUCCUAAGGUAGCGAAAUUCCUUGUCGGGUAAGUUCCGACCUGCACGAAUGGCGUAAUGAUGGCCAGGCUGUCUCCACCCGAGACUCAGUGAAAUUGAACUCGCUGUGAAGAUGCAGUGUACCCGCGGCAAGACGGAAAGACCCCGUGAACCUUUACUAUAGCUUGACACUGAACAUUGAGCCUUGAUGUGUAGGAUAGGUGGGAGGCUUUGAAGCGUGGACGCCAGUCUGCGUGGAGCCAACCUUGAAAUACCACCCUUUAAUGUUUGAUGUUCUAACGUUGGCCCCUGACCGGGGUUGCGGACAGUGUCUGGUGGGUAGUUUGACUGGGGCGGUCUCCUCCCAAAGCGUAACGGAGGAGCACGAAGGUUAGCUAAUCCUGGUCGGACAUCAGGAGGUUAGUGCAAUGGCAUAAGCUAGCUUGACUGCGAGCGUGACGGCGCGAGCAGGUGCGAAAGCAGGUCAUAGUGAUCCGGUGGUUCUGAAUGGAAGGGCCAUCGCUCAACGGAUAAAAGGUACUCCGGGGAUAACAGGCUGAUACCGCCCAAGAGUUCAUAUCGACGGCGGUGUUUGGCACCUCGAUGUCGGCUCAUCACAUCCUGGGGCUGAAGUAGGUCCCAAGGGUAUGGCUGUUCGCCAUUUAAAGUGGUACGCGAGCUGGGUUUAGAACGUCGUGAGACAGUUCGGUCCCUAUCUGCCGUGGGCGCUGGAGAAUUGAGGGGGGCUGCUCCUAGUACGAGAGGACCGGAGUGGACGCAUCACUGGUGUUCGGGUUGUCAUGCCAAUGGCACUGCCCGGUAGCUAAAUGCGGAAGAGAUAAGUGCUGAAAGCAUCUAAGCACGAAACUUGCCCCGAGAUGAGUUCUCCCUGAGACUUUAAGUCUCCUGAAGGAACGUUGAAGACGACGACGUUGAUAGGCCGGGUGUGUAAGCGCAGCGAUGCGUUGAGCUAACCGGUACUAAUGAACCGUGAGGCUUAACCUUACAACGCCGAAG
rnacentral:rRNA from 1 species